rnacentral:rRNA from 1 species
AUUGAACGCUGGCGGCAUGCUUUACACAUGCAAGUCGAACGGUAACAGGCCUUCGGGUGCUGACGAGUGGCGAACGGGUGAGUAAUGCAUCGGAACGUGCCCAGAGGUGGGGGAUAACGCAGCGAAAGCUGUGCUAAUACCGCAUGUGAUCUGAGGAUGAAAGCGGGGGACCAGGCAGCAAUGUUUGGCCUCGCGCCUUUGGAGCGGCCGAUGUCAGAUUAGGUAGUUGGUGGGGUAAAGGCCUACCAAGCCGACGAUCUGUAGCUGGUCUGAGAGGACGACCAGCCACACUGGGACUGAGCCACGGCCCAGACUCCUACGGGAGGCAGCAGUGGGGAAUGUUGGACAAUGGGCGCAAGCCUGAUCCAGCAAUGCCGCGUGCGGGAAGAAGGCCUUCGGGUUGUAAACCGCUUUUGUACGGAACGAAAAGGCUCUGGCUAAUACCUGGGGCUGAUGACGGUACCGUAAGAAUAAGCACCGGCUAACUACGUG